AGAUACCCGACCUGUCACUUAUCUACUGGUUAAGAUUUAUUUUGUUUUAUUUUUGUUUUCUUCCUUCUCUUUUAUUCAGUUGCUUCCCUCUCUCUUUUUUUCGAUACCACCAAAACGAAACUAAGAACAUGAAUCGAUUUAUCAAAAUCGAGAAAAACAAAACAAUCGAUUUUCUGAUCGGUUUCCAGGUGAAAUUGAUCACUCGUCGUCAUCUUCUUCUUGCUGAGAUUUGUCCCUCUUGGUUUCACGGAACAAAUUGUAUCAGGUAAGAAAGCUAGCAAACUCGGAAUUUGUCAAAGAUACUGCCUUCCACAACUCUCCAAUGACUCAAUUUGCUAGCGGUUUUAUGGCCCUCCAGGUGUGGUUCUCUUUACUCGUAUAGUUGUUUUCUUGUUCUUGUUAUGAGAUGGGAUAAAGCUUCUUUUUUUUGCAAGAUAUUCAGGAAGCGAUCUUCAUGAGUUGGAUGAUGCAGUGAACAUCCAAGCAAAUAAAGUACCAUGGAGAUGUGAUAAGGUGUUAUGAGCUACGUUUUUUGUUUUGGUCAGUGACUCUCGUAUUAAUGGGUGCCUUAAGGAUUAGUAAUUGCACGGGAUGGUUGAAGCUAUGUAUACGGGUUGAUUUGUCUGAAUACCAUACUUGACCUACUGUCUUCUGAAGAUUGUGUCUUCACUUCAGUACCUUUGAUGAUAAUUCUCAUGUUUACAUCAGUUUGACAGCAGGUUCUUCUUCCACAAUGGUUGUUAGCAACGAUGAUGGUAGCAUAAUUUAUUUAUUGCCGUUGUCAGACUUUGGUUUGUAGUGAAUUUAUUGUGUGUUAGCACAUGUAUACAUACAAAUAUUCAAAUUUUGUCUCGUGUUGGGGACUUGUGCUGCUGCUCAUAUUCACUUGAGUUUGUUAUUUGGAAGGCUAUGGUGGCUCUUGACGGAGGAAAGAAGAAUAAUAACGGUGGUGAUUAUUCACCCAUAUUUUGUGUUCAGCAUAGAACAAGAAAUCAAUGUUCAGUUUUGUGUU